UCUGGAGCAGACCCCACACGGGGCCGGUUCCCGGACCGGACAAGCUUGUUGACAAGGCGAGAAAGAGACAGAGACGCGCAUGCGUGCUACGAUCGGCAAAGACAUCUAUCUAUUGCAACCGGGGGAUUAGCUCAGCUGGCUAGAGCACCUGCUUUGCAAGCAGGGGGUCAACGGUUCGAAUCCGUUAUUCUCCACUCCAAAUUGGCCCGCGCAAGCGGACCGGUUGAAAAAGAGCACAUUGACAGACUGGAAAGUAGACACAACGAAGACUCAAAUUCAAAGACGCAAGUUUAGAAAUUUGAAUCUCACAACAAACGAGCGCAUUGGCUCAAAUGCCAAUGCAAACCAAAGACAAACUCAUUGCGAAAACAUAGUCCUUUACGAAGGACGAAAAAAGAGCAAAAGCCCUUUUUUUGAAGAAAAAAAGAAAGGAGAAAAGGGCGCAUGAAGGAUGCCUUGGCUCUCGGAGGCGACGAAGGACGCGACAAGCUGCGAAAAGCCGCGGGGAGGGGCACAUGCCCAGUGAUCCGCGGAUAUC
rnacentral:misc_RNA from 1 species